UGCCAUCCAGGCGGAUUCAUCCCUGGGGGCGUUUGACGAGGGAAAGCGGUGCGAAUCCGCUGCGGACCCGCCACUGUGAGUGAAGACGAAAGCCGCGAGGAGCCCACGGCCUGAUUCGAUGGGGCGGGAAGGGGCGGCCGGUAGGAUGAUCCACAAGCCAGGAAACCUCGAAGGAUGACAGAAUCCC
rnacentral:ncRNA from 1 species